CCUGAAGCAAAGUUCUGUGACACUCCGACUCUGGUUACGAUAGCAGUCAGUGCACUACAGAACUUUGUCUCCGGGGGCUG
rnacentral:pre_miRNA from 13 species